GUGAGGAAUAUUGGUCAAUGGAGGCAACUCUGAACCAGCCAUGCCGCGUGCAGGAAGACGGUCCUAUGGAUUGUAAACUGCUUUUAUUUAGGAAUAAACCCCCGGUCGUGCACCGGGGCUGAAUGUACUAAAAGAAUAAGCACCGGCUAACUCCGUGCCAGCAGCCGCGGUAAUACGGAGGGUGCAAGCGUUAUCCGGCAUCAUUGGGUUUAAAGGGUCCGCAGGCGGGUAAAUAAGUCAGAGGUGAAAUCCGGCAGCUCAACUGUCGCACUGCCUUUGAUACUGUUUAUCUUGAAUUUUAGUGGAGUGGGCGGAAUAUGUCAUGUAGCGGUGAAAUGCUUAGAUAUGACGUGGAACACCGAUAGCGAAGGCAGCUCACUAACUAUGAAUUGACGCUCAUGGACGAAAGCGUGGGUAGCAAACAGGAUUAGAAACCCCUGUAGUCC
rnacentral:rRNA from 1 species